rnacentral:lncRNA from 1 species
AAAUGCCUGAGGAGAAGAUUAAGAGAUGGGAAAAUGAGCAAUUAGACACCUUUAUUAGUAACAUUGAUAGACUUAAAGUAAAUGAAAUACUAGCUCAAUUAACGGAAAUGGUUGAAAAUACAAGUGAAAACUCAAUUAUUAAUAAAGUUGUUGAGGAUGUAUGUCAUUUACUUACAAAUGCGGCAAAGUCUACAUUCGGCACAUUUACUAAAAGACGUAAGCAUACACAAAAUAUAAAAAAAAUCAAAACCAUGGUUUGAUAGCGAAUGUAAGGAAGCUAGAAAAAAGUUUCGGUCUAGUAGACGAAAACUUAAGCGAAACCAUACUGACGACAGAGUGAAUGAAACAAAGAAACUAGAAAAGAGUUAUAAGCGAGUAAUGGAUAAGAGCAUUCGUAAACAUAGAAAGAAAAUUAGACACAAG